CUGUAGUGGGGAAGACAAUACAAAUACAGUCAUGUUGAUAUCAGAAUAGUACCAGUUAUUGUGUGAUUGUGUCUAUGUGUUUGUUUUUAUUUGUCAGCCAUACUUGUCUGGAUGAAGGACAUUGUUAAUCAUUUUUGGUUUUGUUGCCAGACGGCGGACAAUCGAGAGGAGUUCAUGGGUAUGUGGCGAGGGGUCCUUCACCAUGUCUGUGGUGUGCAUGAAUGGGCACUUGGAAAAUGUCUACAUCAGCCACUGGAUGGGGUGAGCAGUGCUAAAGAAUGCAUGCUGUCCCGUUCAGCAGCACAUGAGGCACUCUCACAAAUCAUGCUCAACAGACGAUGGCUGAAGGAUGUACUGUAGAAAAAUUUCUGACAUUUCGGUCAACUUCUGAACUUGAGUCUUUCCAGAAUCAUCUGUUGAUGUAUGUUAGCAAGCGGUUUGCCUUCACUCCUCCUGUAUAUGAAGCAAGGACCCUCCUCGCUGCACUGGACUACAAUCACCACAACCACCUACCAGUACAAAUCAACCAGAGGGGCGAAUUUUCACAAAGAAGAAUAUACAGCAAAAAGUCAAAACGUUAUCGUGUCCACACGGUAAAAGUUGCAAAAAACUACAGCUACAUCCCUCAACUGCAGCGCGAAAUUUUUGCUGGAACGUUUGAAAUCCACUGGAGGACUCCCGAGAAGAAGAAUUCUCAGGCAAGAUGACCCACGGAGUCUUGGUCUACUUUCUGGACUUGUGCCAACACCAACAGCUGAACUGGCCCGGGCACAGAUCUGCCGAGGACAGGACAUGACUUCAACUACCUAACCAUUGGGUACAAGAAAAGAGAGAAGUCCGGAAGUAUUUGUGACUGUAGCCUUUUUUAUUAUUAUUAUUAUAAAUUGUUCUUAUAAACAAUUAUAAGAGUAACCAUUGUGCAAAUAAAUAAUAGGCAUGCAAAUUGUAAAAUGUGUAAACAAAAAACAAUUUUUUAUUUUAUCAAAAUAAAAUUCUUUCUAAUAGAAA